GAAAUGCGAUAAGUAGUGUGAAUUGCAGAAUUCAGUGAAUCAUCGAAUCUUUGAACGCACAUUGCGCCCUUUGGUAUUCCUUCGGGCAUGCCUGUUCGAGCGUCAUCUAAACCUUCAAGCCCUGCUUGGUGUUGGGUGCCUGUCCCGCCUCCGCGCGCGGACUCACCUCAAAUCCAUUGGCGGCCCCCGCGUCGGCCACGAGCGCAGCAGAAACGCGAACUCGUGAGCCCGUCCGGGCGGCUCCCAGAAGCUACACCCACCCAGUUUGACCUCGGAUCAGGUAGGGAUACCCGCUGAACUUAAGC
rnacentral:misc_RNA from 1 species